GUCGCGCUCGCUCAGCAGCCUGGCGGUGCGCACCUCGCCAUUGUGCGCCCACACGCCGAAUAGCCCGGGCUCUGUGGCCUUGAGCAGCUGGUACGACAGCCAGGCUUUCUGGCCCGAGUCGCGCCACCACGUUGGUCACCAGGUAGCCCGGCUUGGCCGCCCGGGGCACCAGCUCGGUGCAGGGCGCGGAGCCGUUCUGCAGCGGGUACAGCACGAAGGGCGAGUUGUCGUUGGCGUCCAGCACCAGCACGCGCACCAGCGCCUCGCUGCUCAGCGCGGGGAGCCGCGGUCUGUGGCGCCCACGCGGAACUCGAAAGCCUGCAGGGCCUCGUAGUCCAGAGACCUGAGGGCGAACAGCCUUGGAGUCCCCGUAUCUGUGAUGGUGAGGGUGGUAUUAUAUUCAGCUCUUGCUUCUCUGUCGAGUGCUCUCUCCGUUACCAAGGUGUAAAAGUUCUUGACUGAAGGUUUUAGAAGA
rnacentral:antisense_RNA from 1 species